rnacentral:lncRNA from 1 species
UUCUCUUCUCUUCUCUUCUCUUCUCUUCUCUUCUUUUCUCUUCUUUUCAUGAUUAGCUUGUUGGAAAUUAGAACAGGAUGUAGCUAUCAAGAGUUGAGAGAAAGUGGUUUAUUCCAGAUGGUUGAGAUCAGGGGCAGUAAAGUCGGGCCUGUUAAACAAUAGUAUUCAAACAUUUUCUUCUUUUUAAAAUAAUUUAUCUUUAAUUAUGUGUUUAUUUGCUGUGUGUGUGUGUGUGUGUGUGUGUAGGGGUGUGAUAUGUGCAUGUGAGGGAAGGUGCCCUAGGAGAGCAGAGACACUGAUUGUGUUUCUCCAGAAGUGGAGUUACAGGUGGUUGAGAGCCACCUGAUGUAGAAGAUGGGCACUGAACUGCAGUCCUCUGGAAAUACAUCACACUCUUAAUUGCUGACCACACACUACGUUCAUUUGAGGAUCCAUUCGUAGCCUGUGACCUAUAGGCUGAAAAACAUUCCUGAAAACCACUCUAGGGGGCAGAGCAGUUGGAUAUGAUCCUUAUCUCUUUCUUAAAGCAAAAUGUGUGUGUUUCUAAACAACGCCAUGUGAUUGAUCUCUAAUUAAUCUCCUUCCAGCACAUUUGCAGCCACAUACAAAUCUCACACAGCCUCCUGCCCGGGGUUUUGGAACUAGUCAAACAAGGCUUUUGGAAUUGUCACCUCUGUAUCAUCAUCUUUACCUUCCUGUCACUGUUUCCCUCCAGUUUGAGUGGCUAAUUGAACCCUUACUACAGUGACCUAAUUUGCAUUAUCCCUGUCAAAUGUGUCACUCUGUGAAUCGCUAAAUUAACUUAGCCUUCCUGGAAUAUACCCAAAUGAUGAGAACCAUUUAGGACCUUUCAAACUGAUUUGGCCUAUUAGCUCUGUCCCGAGAUAAGCAGAAUAAAUAAGUCCCAGCAAUCAAAGGGAAGCUAAUUGCAGUACCUCUCUCCAGCUUUGAAUCAUCAAAGGUUGGCUGUCUCGAGCAUGCCCUAAUGGGACUCAUGAUUUUGUUUGUUCUGCGUCUGAUAAUUCUUAGUUCAGUUUACAUUUGCACUGUUAAUAUUCAUUUUCCAAAAUUUGUUGACAUGCCUAUUCAUUUUGAAGAAUAAUAAUUCAUUAGCUUUUCCUUUCCAGGUCCAAUCUAUGCAUGCUCCUUGUAACAAGUCAAACAACACAGGAGUCAGGGAACAAGACUGUGGUUGUCUUAUACCUUGGACCCCAUCUCCUCCUUAAUGAGUGUUGAUAACUUAGUUCUUAUUAGUUGGUGUUUUCCAUUACCAAUCUAAGCAUGCACAAUAUACGUACUUAUUUAUGUGGUGGACAAUUUUAUGAAUAUUAAACCAGACUGUAUAGUCCAAGCUUAAAUUAAAAAAAC